GCGGGGGAGAAAAGGAGGCCUGGGCAGCCCAGCCCCACUGUGGGCUCAGGGCUGUGAGCACCAUGGCCUGGACUCCUCUGCUCCUGGCGCUCCUCUCUCACUGCACAGGGUCCCUCUCCCAGCCUGUGCUGACCCAGCCGCCCUCCCUCUCUGCAUCUCCGGGAGCCACAGCCACACUAACCUGCACGCUGAGCAGCGGGUUCGAUGUAGACAAUUAUGGUAUAUCCUGGUACCAGCAGAAGCCAGGGAGCCCACCCAGGUAUCUCCUGUUCUAUAUGUCAGACUUGGUUACGGACCAGGGCUCCGGGGUCCCCAGCCGCUUCUCUGGAUCUCCAGACGCCUCGGCCAAUGCGGGGCUCCUGACCAUCUCGGGGCUGCAGCCUGAGGAUGAGGCUGACUAUUACUGUGCUAGCGAUGUUGGCAGUGGGAGCAGCUACCGUUACCCACAGUGUCUCAGAGGCCGAGGAAGUGAGACCAAAACCCUGGCCCCGAGGUGGUGGCUCUGAGCCUCCUUCAGCGAG